CCCGGCAGCUGCAUCGCCAGCAGGGCCUGCUGGGACCUCCCUGCGGGGCCCGGAACCCGGGGAGAGUCGGAGGGGCUGGCCGGGAGGGAGAGAAAGGACACCGCGCCGCGGUGCGGUCUGGGAAGACGUGUUUUCAUUGCAGGCUUUCUCUGGGCUCGGGAGGCGGUGCCGGCGCGGCCGAGCAGGGCGGAAGCGGAAGGAAGCUGCUGCGGGCCGGGGGUGUAGGGUGACGGGCCAGAUCUUUCCGGGAGGUCGCCACCCGUCUCCGCACGGGGACACCGGGCAGCCGCGGGCGAGGCCCCCUUCUCCACACCCCUCGUAGGCCGGGCCGGAGUGAGCGAGGAGGGAGCUGGUAUCCUGGCUGCGGCCGGGUGCAGCUGUAGACAAUAGUGUAAUAAUGUUGAGAGUUCCAAGGAAAUUUUCACUGAAUGUCCUGAAAGCAUCAAGUUUGUGCAAUGAGUGUAUGUACUGCAAGUGGGCAAGAACGAUGGUUGUAAAAAGACUAAAAUCACAAGAAUGUCAUCAAAGAAAUUACAGCUUUCCACCAGGAGAUGUCAAAUCUUUGCGUUCUAUCAUUACCCCUCCUAUAUCUAAGAUCCGUAACAUUGGCAUCAUGGCUCAUAUUGAUGCAGGGAAAACUACAACCACAGAGAGAAUGUUAUACUAUUCCGGAUACACAAGAGCACUGGGAGAUGUCGAUGAUGGGGACACAGUGACGGAUUUCAUGGUACAAGAGCGAGAACGUGGCAUUACCAUUCAGUCUGCUGCUGUUACUUUUGAUUGGAAGGGAUAUAGAAUGAACCUGAUUGACACACCAGGUCAUGUGGACUUUACAGUGGAAGUUGAACGUUCCCUGAGAGUGCUGGAUGGGGCAGUGGCUGUAUUUGAUGCUUCAGCUGGUGUGGAGGCACAGACUCUAACAGUAUGGCGACAAGCAGACAAGCAUCAUAUACCACGAAUUUGUUUUUUAAAUAAGAUGGACAAAAAUGGGGCAAGUUUUACUUAUGCUGUUGACAGUAUCAAGCAAAAGUUGAAGACAAAACCUUUGCUUUUACAGUUGCCAAUUGGUGAGGCCAAGACCUUCAAGGGACUGGUUGAUGUAGUGACCAAGGAACAAAUUAUUUGGAACCCUGCUUCUAGUCUGGAUGAUGGAAAAGUUUUUGAGCAAAAACCCCUGACAGAAACUGAAGAUCCUGAAUUGUUAAAGGAUGUCAGAGAUGCAAGAAAUGCCUUAAUAGAACAAGUUGCAGAUCUGGAUGAUGAAUUUGCUGAGCUGGUUCUAGGAGAUUUUAGUGAAAAUUUUGACUUACUGCCAGCUGAUAAGUUACAGUCUGCUGUACGCAGAGUAACACUGGCACAGAAAGCAGUACCUGUGUUCUGUGGAAGCGCAUUGAAGAAUAAAGGAGUACAGCCUUUACUGGAUGCCAUUACUAUGUACUUACCUGCACCUAAUGAGCGUUCCUAUGACUUUCUGCCAUGGUACAAAGAUGACUUGUGUGCCCUGGCAUUUAAAGUUCUUCAUGAUAAACAACGUGGGCCAUUAGUUUUUAUACGCAUUUACUCAGGCACAAUGAAACCUCAAUCAGCUGUAUAUAACAUCAACAAAAAUUGCACAGAGAGAAUGAGUCGCCUUCUGCUGCCUUUUGCUGACCAGCAAAUAGAAAUACCUUCACUAAUGGCUGGCAAUAUUGCCCUUACUGUUGGGCUGAAACAGAGUGCCACUGGAGACACCAUUGUUUCAUCAAAGGCGUCUGCUGUGGCUGCAGCCCGUCGAGCUGGAAGAGAGGUUGGGAGAAAGCCUGGCGGUAAUAGUGAAGUAGAGAGCCUUUUAUUAGCUGGCGUAGAGAUCCCCGAGCCAGUCUUCUUUUGUACAAUAGAACCACCUUCGAUGUCCAAACAGCCAGAGUUGGAUAAUGCAUUGAACUGCCUUCAGCGUGAAGAUCCAAGUUUGAAAGUGAAGAUAGAUCCUGACACUGGACAAACUGUUCUCUGUGGCAUGGGAGAGCUGCACAUUGAGAUUAUUCAUGACCGAAUCAAACGGGAAUAUGGCGUUGAGACCUAUCUAGGACCCCUUCAGAUAGCAUAUAGAGAAACCAUCCUAAACUCGGCCCAAGCCACAGAUACGUUGGACAGAACGAUAGGAGAUAAACGGCACUUGGUGACCACCCAGCUGGGAGUAAGACCAUGGGUAGGAGAGAGAUCAUCAGUAACACCAGUCAUUGAAUAUGCUGACAAUUUCAUGGAACCACUUCAGAAAGACAUUCAAGAAGCUAUAGAAAAUGGAAUUAACAGUUCAUACCUUCAAGGACCGCUCCUGGGAUUCCCAGUUCAGGAUGUAGCAGUGACUGUGUAUUCCAUGACCAUGCACUCUGAAACUUCCCUGACUAUGAUUUCUGCUUGUGUUUCUCGUUGUAUGCAAAAGGCUUUGAAGAAAGCCAGUAAACAACUGCUGGAACCCUUAAUGAAUCUGGAAAUUACAGUGAGCGAAGAUCUCCUCAGCGCAGUGCUUGGUGACCUUGCGCAAAGAAGAGGCAGCAUUCAGGAAAUCCAAAAUCGUCAAGAUAACAAAGUAGUGAUUGCAGCUGUUCCCCUAGCAGAAAUGAUGGGUUACUCAACAGUUCUGCGCUCUUUAACAUCAGGCUCAGCAACUUUCACUUUGGAACUAGCCAGUUACCAAGCCAUGAACAUUCAGGAGCAAAGCGCACUGCUUCAGAAGAGGAGUGGGUUGGUGUGACCACUUUACUCCAUGGGAGAACAACGAAGACCUGCUUUAUUCUCACUAGAAAAUGUUAGGGGAACUGUUUGCCAAGUAUCCUCUUUCUGAAAAAUGGGUGGGGUAAAGUGUGUGGGGUUAGAACUGUCUUAAAAUAACAUGCUACGGCUGUCCAGUGGUAAGUGGCAAAGAAAAAAGUGCUGUGAAAUCCUGGAAUUGCCUUGUUUGCAUGAAGGGAGUUAAACCAGAGAUAACUAGAAUUGACUGUUUUGAUAUCCACCAUAUUCCGUGUACUACACUUCACAUGCCUAACAGUUGGAGCUGAUACCUUACUGGAAGACAACGUUCCAAAUCCCCUACAAGAAAUGAUGGUGCAGCUCUUUCUGUGAAAGUGAGCACUACAUGCAACUUACUGAAUCAUGUCAGAACUGUUUCACCUAAAGUAGUCAACCUGAUUCUAGCUGACUGGCUCGUAGCAAAGCAGCUGUCAAAUUAAGAAACUGAAGAGUUUGAAUUUCACACCAAAUCCUGCUAGUUCUUCAUGCAGUGCUAUAGUCAGCCAGCAUUAUAUCACCACCGCUUCCCCCCAGAUACCAGGUGUUUAGAUGCAAGCAGUGUGCCAAGGGAUUCUAGAGUCGACAGGAUCACGAUGUAGAUGCAGAGGUCACUUUCUGUUUGAUUAGGAAGUAAGGGCUAUCAAUCAACUCCUCAAAAGAGGAGGACCUGACGCCAGGACUUCGGGGGCUUCUCCUACAGCAGCUGUCCUCUUCUUUGUAUGGGGAUAAUGGAAGCAACCAGGAUGGAAAUAGCAGAUGUGGACAGAAGAAACUCACUAAAACCUCAGGAGUGCUUCACAAAGGGCGGCAAGUAUCUCCCCUUUCAGUUGGAAGAAGUGGAGGAAGAGACUGAGAUUUGUUCAGGGUCUCGUAAUAAAUCAGUAUACAACAGAACCCAGAUUUCCCUGUUUCAAGUCCACUUAUUCAAGCCACCAAACCACACUGCCCCUCCAAUAGCUCUAUUCCCAUAGCCCUGAAGAGAUGGUCUAAAUUAUGGAUAUUAAUUCAAUAAGGGCUCAUUUGCCCACUCCCUUAAACAGUUAAGGGCUAUACAUUAUCCCAUCUACCACUGAGGAAAUUCAACUUGUUUGAUACUACUACAUGGUAAGAGAGAACUUUUGCUGCUCCUGUUCAUUUUUUAAAUAGUUGUUUUUGAAUAUGUCUUUACCUUUGUAUGCAUGUAGAUACUGAAGAAGUUAUGCUCCCCCAAACAUUUCAGCGUUCUGGUCCGUUAGCAUAGCCAUUUGUAUUUAAAUAAAGUUAUGAAGAAUA